AGUGAACGCUGGCGGUAGGCCUAACACAUGCAAGUCGAACGGCAGCACAGUACUAGCUUGCUCUUACAGGUGGCGAGUGGCGGACGGGUGAGGAAUACAUCGGAAUCUACUUUUUCGUGGGGGAUAACAUAGGGACAAUUACGCUAAUACCGCAUACGACCUACGGGUGAAAGCAGGGGAUCUUCCGCCCUUACGCGAUUGUAUGUGCCGAUGUCGGAUUAGCUAGUUGGCGGGGUAAAGGCCCACCAAGGCGACGAUCCGUAGCUGGUCUGAGAGGAUGAUCAGCCACACUGGAACUGAGACACGGUCCAGACUCCUACGGGAGGCAGCAGUGGGGAAUAUUGGACAAUGGGCGCAAGCCUGAUCCAGCCAUACCGCGUGGGUGAAGAAGGCCUUCGGGUUGUAAAGCCCUUUUGGUGGGAAAGAAAAGCAGCAGGUUAAUACCCCGCUGUUCUGACGGUACCCAAAGAAUAAGCACCGGCUAACUUCGUG
rnacentral:rRNA from 1 species